rnacentral:lncRNA from 1 species
AAAUAUAACACAAGUUGGCAGCAGCCCUUAUUCGUAGUUACUAAUCUAUCUAUAUGGCCAUAGUAGCUCAUGUUGUUCGGAUGGCUUGGUGAUGGGGGCUAGUUUUAUGGCUUCCCCAUUGGAGGGUGUCCUGGAUAGUGACCAUAAGGUGGCUCAUACACCGGUGGUUUCUUAGGAGGUUCAUAUACUGGUGGCUUCUUCGGAGGUUCGUAAACCGGUGGUUUGGGCUCUGGCUUCUCUUUCUUCGGAGGUUCAUAAACUGGUGGUUUUGGUGGCUUAGGUUCAUAUACUGGUGGUUUUGGUGGCUUAGGUUCAUACACUGGAGGCUUCUUUGGAGGCUCAUAUACUGGUGGUUUGGGUUCUGGCUUCUCUUUCUUUGGAGGUUCAUAAACUGGUGGCUUUGGUGGCUUAGGCUCAUAAACUGGUGGCUUUGGUGGCUUAGGUUCAUAUACUGGUGGUUUCUUUGGAGGCUCAUACACCGGAGGCUUCUUUGGAGGCUCAUAAACUGGUGGCUUUGGUGGCUUAGGUUCAUAAACUGGUGGCUUAGGUUCAUAUACUGGUGGCUUUGGUGGCUUAGGCUCAUAAACUGGUGGCUUUGGUGGCUUAGGUUCAUAAACUGGCGGUUUCUUUGGAGGCUCAUACACCGGAGGCUUCUUUGGAGGCUCAUAUACUGGUGGUUUGGGUUCUGGCUUUGGAGGCUUAGGUUCAUAUACUGGUGGUUUCUUUGGAGGCUCAUAAACUGGUGGCUUUGGUGGCUUAGGCUCAUAAACUGGUGGCUUUGGAGGCUUAGGUUCAUAAACUGGCGGUUUCUUUGGAGGCUCAUACACCGGUGGUUUCUUGGGAGGUUCAUAAACUGGUGGUUUGGGUUCUGGCUUUUCCUUCUUUGGAGGUUCGUAAACCGGUGGCUUGGGCUCCGGCUUCUCCUUCUUUGGGGGUUCAUAGACAGGGGGUUGGGGUUCUGGCUUCUUUGGAGGUUCGUAAACUGGUGGUGGUUUGUAAAUUGGGGGUGGCUUCACCUCGGGAGGUUUGUAAACAGGAGUAGGUGGUUUCCCAUAGCCGGGUAACUCGUAGGUACCAAGGGAGGGAGUGGCGAGAACCACCACUCCCAGGAGCAGUACUAGUAAGUGUGUAAGAGACAUCUUGGAGCUCUGGCUUUCGAUAGGGCAACUCGAAGCCCUCCUUUUAUAGUGGUAAAGGAGCCUUUUGGUUAGUCCAGGUGUCAAAAUUUCUCUCGUUUCAUACCUUACGAAAUAGUGAGCUAGCUAGAUUUGUAAAUAUUUGAGUAAUUCAUAAAUGUGAUAGGGUCCAUUUGGGUCCCACUUAGUCGAAAUUUUGGACUAUGAAUUACAAGGCCUUAUUCAUGAUUGAAGAAGAUUGGCAGUGUGGCUAUUAAAGAAGAUUGGCAGUGUGGUUCUUUUGGCGGUGACUAUUCCUUCUCUUUCCAUAAAGUAAUAGUUAGCGUCACUCUUUUCAUCUUUUUCAUUUAUGAAACAUGCUUUUUCUUUUCCUGCUAAAAGAAGCAAUAGAAUGGCACGAAAUUCUCCUUUAUAUCUGCUCAGCAACUCUUUCCUAACAAAUAUAAGAAGCUCAAGGCGUGAAAAUAUCUCAAGAGACUGAAAGUGAAGAGCGUUUCUAUAAACAAUGCCUCAGGAUAAAGUUGCAAAAAAAUUGCAGGACUGCACAUCUUCUAGUAUCACAAUAGGUGUUCAUCAAGGAAAACUUUUUACUCCAAUUGGUAUGAUAUUUACUGUUUUCAUGUCCUGUAAAGUCUUGGUUGCUACAAUAAAUAUAGUAGAAGUGUUUGAUGACAGCAAAUUUCCUUCUGGACUGCAAACAUUGUUACUAAUUUCAAAUGUAAUGCCACAGCUAUAAAAAAUAAAAAUAAAAUAAAAAAAGCGAAGCCCAGAUGAGAAGGUUGGUACCUUCCGCUUGCAUGUUCUAAGUUUUGCUUGAGGGAGAUUAUUUUGGCUAAAAUCUAACAACAUUGUUGCCAAAAGGCAACUUCAUUAUUGGUGGAAGCCUUUGCAGUCCUGUUGGGAAAUUUACACGAAUGCAGCACUCACCUCUUUGCUUGUUUCCAUAGUUAACAACAAGUGAGCUUAUUUGUCGGUAUUGACUUUUAUGAUGCAUACCCUUUUUCUCUUUCUAUAUUUUGUUUUCAGUUACCUAAUUCCUUAUAGUUGGCACUAGGUUUUUUUUAAAUUCAACGAGUUUUUGCAUCUAAUGGUCUUUUAUUGACUUUUAGAAGCAAUAUUUUAACCUUCCUGUUGAUUGUACCUUAGUUGAACUAAGUUCCAGAAAGACAGCUUUCUUUCACUAUCAGUGUAUGGAUAGCUUAGCAAUUUAGUCUUAUGGAUUCAUUAUUACCCUUGCACUAAAGCCGCAGGCAAAUUACUGAAAGACUAAUCAUAGAUCUUUUUCUGCUAAUUAAGGUAUUUGAGUGGUUCUAUUAUGGAGAGAAAUUAAUUUACUCUGUAAGUGAGGCUAUAUUGAAGAGAAUCUGAACUGUUUACAACUACUUUGUUCUCCAUAAGAAUUUUGGCUGCAACGUUUGACAAUUAUUGUUGUUAUUGCCUUUAUUCUCAUGACAGAGCGCUUUAGGCAGGACAAUCUGGUUCAUGAACACUGCUCAUAAUUAGAUUUUAAUUCCCAAUCCUAAAUUGCAUGUUAAUAGCAUUAUGAAGUAUGUCAUAAAUUUUGCACAAUACUUUAAACUCGGAAAGAGAGUAUUUGGACUUGGGAUCUCUUCCUGGAAGUACGGCCUGGUCACCAUGAAGCUUCCAGAAAUUUGUUUUCUACACGCAACACUGGAUUUGGUAUAACUAAUUGUGAGGAAAUAUGAGCUCUUAAAGCAGAUGAACAGUUCUGUGAAUCGGCUUAAUUAAUUUUCAUGAAUUCGGGCAGCCUAAGGCUUAUUCCAAACAAUUUAGAUGAAGAGUUCGACCAGAGUAAAGAAAUAUUUCAUUAUGUACCAUCUUGUCCUGUAAUUAGGUGAUUAUCAUAUGAAUUAUAAAUUUAUAAUCACUUUCCUGAGUCGAAAUUCAGCAGAUUUCUUUUGUAGUUUCCCCCCACUCAUCUACAGGUUAUUUUAUCAAAAAACCUGCUGGUUUUUUUUUAAAUUAAAAAAACCUGCAGGUUCUGUGCUGCUAUGUGCUGGCAGAAGAAAAAGCUUAAUGGCGAUAGAACAACAGUCAGUGAGAAAGACUGGCAUUUUGCAAAACCGACAUGCUGCAUAAUAGGCCUAGCUUACCUACCGUCCUUUUGAUAAAAUUGUACUCGUUAUAAAAUUAGAUGAACUUUCAAUUCGUAGCUUAUCCAAUUAGUACGUAACACAAUGUUUGAAAUACAUGAUUGAUCAUGAAUGCCAAUAUUAUUGCUUUUUGAUUUUUGCAACUCUGGCAAUGGAUCUUUCCACCAACCAAUCUCCAUGCACGAAAACGCAACAAAAAUCUUGAACUUAGUGGUUCAGUUGAAGUCAAAAAGCCAAAAGAAAGGGAUGAGAGGGGGGAUUGAAACAAAGAAAGCGAAAAGAGAAACAGACCAUGACUGGAGAGGAAAUAUGAAUAUAGGUGGGAAUAAAUAAGUAUUCAUGGAAAUCAACUGCAUGCAGUAACAAAGUGGCUUGUGAGGCUCUUCAGCUUUCUCCAUUAUUGGAGGGUGUCCAGGGUAGUUUCCAUAGGGUGGAGAUGGUUUGGGCGAGGGUAGAGUUCUUGGCUUAUGCUCAGGAGCCGGGGUAUGAGGUUUGGGCAUUGUGGCUGGCUUUUCAACGGCUUGUCCACCUGUGGUGCUGGUCCUUUUUUUGGAGGUAGAGUUGGUGCAAUGGGUGGUUUUGGUCCUAACUCUAGGAGGUAGAUCGAGUUAGUGGAUUGUGCUCAGGAUUUAGCUUUUCUGCUUUAGGAGGCUUUCGAACUCGGGUUCCUGCCUCGUGCUUGGCACUGGCUUCUUAGUUGGGGGAUCCAGGUGGCCUGGAAUGGGUGGUUUGCGCUCAUAUUGAGGUGGCUUUGCGUAAUCAGCUAAACAGGGUGCGCUAAGACUAAAAACCACUGAACCGAUAAACAACAUAAACAAGUAUACAUAGGAGACAUCUUUGUGCUUUGAUGGUAUAAAGAUAAUGGUUCAGAACUUGAAGGAACAUACCAUUUUGUAAUGCUUACCAGCCCUGGAAAGUUGUAUACAUGUUCAAAUUUCGUUCAGUUCGUGUCAUGCACAGAUUACAAAAUAAGUUAAACUAUAUAAUUUGCAGAGCUUAAUUAAGGCGAUAAAAUGGUUCAUUUGUUUCCCAUAGAGAUGAACAUUUAGACAGUUGGGAAAAUCCUGUUCCUAAGAAGGAUGAGGGAGGAAAAGUUCCAACCUCCAGGUUAAAAUCCAUUUUAGUUUCUCUCUCACGAUCUACCGACUUUUGCCCUUUCUUCAUCUGUUUCAACGUUGAUCCAGAUCUCUAGGUGAGCAUUUUGUCAAAGCAGCCAUCAUGGAAAAUGUCAACAGCGCUUGGACAGUAGCAAGGCAUUAUUUUGGCCAAUAAGAACAAAAAAGGUUGGUGCUACAAUUAAGGUAAUUACCGAAGAACUUUUGCUCCUAUUAUUUUUCUUCCGUUUUGUUCGAAUUUCUGUAUGAUUCACUCACUUCAGUCGUUUUCAAGACUGUGAUUUCUUGUAAUUCUAGAUUUUCUUCCAUGGCGUAAUAUUUGACAGUCCGCAUCCGCGUUUCUUGAUUUCCCAUAUAGAUUGCGACAUUGAUGGCCACUUGUCAGUCAUAGGUCGUUGGUACAGUUUCAUCGUGUCAGUCCGUGCCUAUCAUUUCAAUCUAAACAUGCAAAUAAACCCAAAAAAUGAAGAAUAAAAAAAAUAUAACAUAGUUUAUCAGAUAACUUUGGACUUUUAGUAUUGUCAAAGACUUUCGUUACUUGUUGGGAUGAAUUCUGGGUACAAAGUUGUCAAUAUUGGAGGUGUAAACAAGAACUCUCAUUUCCAGACUCAAGGGCUACCUGGAGUAUGUUUCCAGUAACAAACGUGUAGGAGCUUUAAUUUGACAUUGUAGAUGGUGCAAAAUGUGCAGAGAGAACAGAAUCCCAUAGUCUGUAGGUGGAGAUUGAUUGAGAGAGAUACAAAAAUUCUGUAUUUACAAGUCAUAUUUGCUCAUUGACAAAAGAAAAUAAAAUAUUGAACGUGGACUAUUCCCAUAGAAAAGAACCCAUAACUACUCAUCUCUCUUGCCAUAGUCUCUCUCUGUGGUAUGACUCCAUCAAGAUCCAUGAAUUAGUGAUAUCCUUACUUCAUCCUUUAAUUGUGAGGCCAAAAAUAAGACACAUACAACAGGAACCAACACACUGGAGGUGCAGCUGUGUAGUCUACAUGUUCCAGAACCCAGAAGUUUCCUGUCCUGAAAAAUAAGCCAUUUUUUUUUUGUAUCCUUUGACUAAUGUAUGUAAAUAAAAGAAAAUAUAGAUUUGAUAUGUCAGUGCUCUGCAUAUGUAGUUAUCUUCUCGAUCGGAUUUGCUCCUUAUUUUCAAUGGACAAAUGCUGGUAGGUUUUCUGGGUCUAAACUGAAGACUUUAUUCUCCAGACAGGGCAGGUGAAAUUGAAGAAUUAUGUGAGGAAUAUUCUUACUACGAACCGUGGUUUUUCUCCAGGAUUCUACGACCAAGGAAAACAAAUCGUGGUGCCAUAUGUCUCCAUGCAUGUUAUUAUGGGCACAUCAUCUUUCUUAAUUUCUGAUACGACUUACUCACACAUCCAAUGGAGAUGGUUGCCAAAAAUUUGUUUACUCCUAACUGGCUUAUCCUUUUUUACUUUCUUUAUAUUUUUCCCCUAAUAAGUGGUCCAACAACUCCUUAAAUUAUUAUAUCUUCACUUUUUCAUCCAUUCCACCAACUACAUAUAUUUUAAUGUUUUUGUUAUUUAAUUUCUGAUCUUGAAAAAUGACAAAAUUGUUUAAGUUAUUGAUUUAGCCAGCCAUUUAUUGUUUUCUUUAUUGGUGGCCGCAGCCUAUUGGUGUCCACCGACUGCCCCUGGCCAUGCUAGGCCAGGCUCUGGGCCCUUAAGCCCUGCUGGUUAUAAAUAAUUCUAACUUGAACAAACAAUAUUAAGCCUAGGCCCAACUUGAUGAUUAUUUUAUUACGAAAAUAGAUUUUUUUUUUUAUAAUUAAGAGACGAGUAUUUGAAUCUUAUUUUUUAGAGACAGAGAAUAUAUAUUAAUUAAUAAAUUAUAUAUUCUAGUAUUUAUUAUGAAGAUAAUUUUUUUUUUAGUUAGUGGGGUGCGCCAGCCCUGAGCUAUAGUGCAACGCUAGGGCAAUGCGCGAGAGAACCAAUAGCAAGCUACUAUGGUGGACUCUCUCCCUAAAAAAAUUAAUUUAACAUCAUGUGGACUAAUGGCCCAUGAAGAUAGUUAUUUUUGAAAAACAUAAAAAUUUGAUAUGUGAAAUUGAAUUUGUUGGAUCAGAAUUGAAAACCCGAAUAAUUCCGAGUACAAGUUAUUUCGGAUUCAGAUGAUUCGAGUAUGAUAUUCAGAUAUUUUUAUUUAAAUUAUUAACUUUUAAAAUUAUGUUAUAUUUUAUUAAUAGUAAUUAAAUUGUUUAUUAUCACAUUUUUGUUAACUUGUAUCAUACCUUCAACUUUGAUUUUUGAUAUCAUAAAAAAAUUCAAAAUUUUUUUGACUCAUAUAAAAAGGAAAGAAACAAGUGAAAUGAAAGUUAUUAAUUAAUAUAAAAAACAAUAGUUAACUUCUAAAAAAAUUAUAAAUUGUUUUUUAUUGAAUGAUGUUAAUUUUCACUUUCAUUACACAGAUUAUUAUUAGUAAUUCACCGUAAUUAUGGUUCGACUUACAAUUUAAAAUGUCAGUCAUAACUUAUAAAAUAAGGUAUAAUUCUCUCUUUAGUUCCUUUAAAGUUAACGUUUAUUACCUCAAAAUUUAAAAAAUGAAAAAAUAUUUUACGUAAUAAUUAAUGAACGUCAACAACACAAAUUGGUUCAAUUCAAAAUUCAAAACCAGAAAUAGCUUAAACCUAAAAUAACUCGACUCAAAAUUAAUUAAUGAAUAGUUAAAAUACAAUUUCUUUUUAUUUACAGUAUUUAACAUGCAUGCGGAGUUUAGCAUUUUGUGCGGGCCUAAUCCAACUCUUGGAAUUUAAGUGCGUGCAGCCCAUUGUCACAAAAGCACAAAGAACAAACAAGGCAGAGAGUACUUCAUAAAAUAAAAAAGAACAAAAAAAAAAAAAAAAACAAAGAAUUGAAGAUGGGUUAUCAGGAUCAAACUUAUAUGCACAACAAUUCCUUCUCAGCAUCAGGCUUUUCUGUCAGCUUUGGAUCUUAUUUCAUUAUAUGUUGUGAAUUUUGUCUUUACCUUCCCAAAAACUAUUGAUGCUCUGUAGUGAUUCUGGUUCCUUGUAGUAGGGUCUCCCCUGCUUUUUUUUUACAUGAAUAAAUUGUAUUUAUCUGAAAAAACAAAAGAGGGGUUACAGUUUCAGCCAUUGAGGCUUGCUGGGCUGCAAAGAAGCUAUAGAGAGAGAGAGAGUCGAUCAUCAUAUCAAAAAUGUUUAAUACUACAACUAUAGAAGAAAUUAAGACUGUAUAUUACACUAAGUGAAAGCAUAUAUAUAUAUAUAUAGUGACAGUCGUAAAGUACAAAGUUUUCAAACUGCAUGUCCAUGCUCAUUUCCUACGUAGGAAGCUAGUACAUGCACUACAAGCUAAAGGAGUGAACUACGUAAACAUUAAAAACCAACUAUAGCGGGAGUUAUGGACUCAAACCAUUGAACAUAGCUGCUCUUAUUUCUAUGACACUCUCCCAUUCCAUAUAUACUAAACACAACUAGCUACUAGCUGGUAACGCCUAGUUAGCUUGUCGUGGCGGCUUGUGGGGUGGUUCAUCAUGUGGAGGCUCAACGGGCGGUUGGUCAGGAGGCUGGUGGGGUGGUUCAUCAUGUGGAGGCUCAACGGGCGGUUGGUCAGGAGGCUGGUGGGGUGGUUCAUCAUGUGGAGGCCCAACGGGCGGUUGGUCAGGCGGCUGGUGGGGUGGUUCAUCAUGUGGAGGCCCAACGGGCGGUUGGUCAGGCGGCUGGUGGGGUGGUUCAUCAUGUGGAGGCUCAACGGGCGGUUGGUCAGGAGGCUGGUGGGGUGGUUCAUCAUGUGGAGGCCCAACGGGCGGUUGGUCAGGCGGCUGGUGGGGUGGUUCAUCAUGUGGAGGCCCAACGGGCGGUUGGUCAGGCGGCUGGUGGGGUGGUUCAUCAUGUGGAGGCCCAACGGGCGGUUGGUCAGGCGGCCCAAGUGGAGGCUCAUGAGGUGGCUCGUGUGGAGGCACUGGUGGACGCAACUUGCGUGGUGGCUGGAGCACUUCUUUGUUCUCAAGUACUUGCUCUGCCAGAAGGUGUCCCGCGGGGUGAUGACCAUCAUGUGGUGGCUUCUUUCCCUUGCCCUUUGGUGGUUUGUCAAAUGGUUUGCAGGGUGAGCUGUGUAAUUCCUCAACGCAGCCGUCUUCCGAGAGGUGUCGUUGGGGUACUGGCUUAUUAUCACCUGGGCGUAUCGGUGGCUCCUCUUUCUUAGGUGGCAGUGGUUUAUCACCAGGGAUAAACUUUGGUGGUACAUAACCAGGGAGAAUUGGUGGUUUGCGCUCUGGAAAGCGCUCGUCUUCCUCGGGAGGCCCAUUAUAAGCUAGAGAUGGGGAUGGAGUGGUGAGAAGAGCCAUCACUCCAAGUAAAAACAGAAGCAAGUAAGCUUUAGACAUUGUGAUUGGAAAAUCUGUAGCUUGUUUUUGUGGUGAAGAACAUGAACAACUAGCGGCCAUUUAUACUGGAUGGAAUCAUAGCUUUAUCGUCACCACUCAUGUCAUUGAGCAUUUGGCAAGCUAGCUUAGUUUGUAGCUUUAGAUAACUGUUUAAUUAAUUAAAUUACAGAUUUUCAGUUCACAGUUCACAUAGUGCUCAAAAGAAGAGAAGCUCACAAAUUUUAGGUGGUCCAUUUUGGGGUCCCAUCAAAGCUAUUUUCUUGUUUUUCAUUGAGAGAAAACUGAAAACCAAAUUCCUGUCACAUUUAGUCCAUUAAAAUUUAAUUUAUUUUCCUUACUAUAAGCCUGCACCCAAGUGACUCGAUUGACUUCCGUCUAUUUUUAUAAGUUCUGCCUAGGGCUUCUGUUUCUGUGUGUUGGCACGUUGAUUCUGUUCAUAUUUAGCCUUUAAUUUCACUGGAGUGCAAUUCUACUCGAAAUGGUGAAUUAACUUAUCAAACCCCUUUAAAUCACAAUAAAGAGGUGUAGAAUAGGAUAUUGCACCACAGAUUCCAACGUAUAUUCGAUUUUGAUUUUCCUUUUUUUUUAUUUUUGCAUGAAGUAGUCAAAAUUAAAUAGUACUUCAAAAUCAAGUUGAAGAGUUAUUUAAUAAUGUUGCAUAAAUUGUCUAAUGGCAUAUGUUAAAAUUUAGAGUGUUUUUUAUGAUAUCAUUAUAGUGCAAAAUCGAGUCAUAGCUAUGUUUACCUCGACAAUUUGCACAUUAUCACUUAAGAUCACCCACUAACUGAGAUAUUUUCUUAUCUCUUACUUCAAUUCGUUGGAUUCAAUUUCAUGAGAAAAUCACAUUUUUUUAAACGAAAUAAUUAUUGUAUUUUAUUAGAAUCGCUCUAGCAAUGAACACAAAAAUUCAUACACUAUUUUUCAAUUUUUUUUCUAGCCAUACUAUAGCAUUAAAGCUUUAAUUAGAAUAUAUAAUCACUUGGGUCAUUAUAGAUUUUUGUCUUUGGAAUUUUAGCAUCUUUAGGAACAAUUCAACAAGUAAAAAGAAAUUACCUUUUUUUUUGCUGUUUUUUUCAACUAGUUCAGACUUACAACAUGCAUAAUGUUGCUGGGUUUUUUUUUUUUUUUGGUCUUUUUCAUUUCAAUUUACAGCUACUUGACUUUCUCUCUGUUGGAAAGAAACAAAGACAAAACGCCAAAAAAGAAAAAAAAAAAAAAACAGAAGAAAGGAAGGUGGGAAAGUUCUCCUGAGAAUCUGAGGUACUCAAGUCAACUUCAAGGCGUUUGGGGCCAACCAAUGACUCAGAGUCACCGGCCCAGACGUUCGCUAGCGAUCGCUUUUGUCUUGACUCAGAGUCACCGUCCACGUCUCUUAGAACUAUAGUUGAGUUUUUCUUCUAUUUCUACGUACUUCCUCAAAAUUCAACAGGGAAUCGAGGAACGAGCUAGCCAAUGAAUCACUUAUUUUUCUUUGAUUUCAUACUUUAUAUAUAAAAAUGAAACAGUGUAAAUUUGGAAAUGGGUAAGAAAGCAAUAAAUUGAUUAAUUUGAUUAUAUAUGAAACAACAUCAGUUUAAUUUUGGAUUAUUAUAUUUCUAAUUCCCAUCAUUCCCUGGCAGUCAAAGUUGAGAAAAUUUCAUCAGUUCGAUAGGAGCAUUCAGAAGGCAACGAGUGAAAGCUUUGUUUUUUGUCAACCAAAAAUCCAAAAUCUGAAAGCGGCGAAAGCACAGUGGGUGAAACACUGAAAAUUAAAUCAGAAUAUCCCAAAAUAGUGAAUAAAGUAGAAAAUCCAUAUCAUACAAACAACAGAUAAACCAUAGAUGACGCAGGAGUUUCUGUAACAACAAAGUACAAUCUGCAUAACUCCAUAGAUAUGGCCUCCCAAGUCAUGAAUAAAUAAAGCAUAGGACUUGGCCAACGUGGAUGUACAUGUAACUAGCUAGAGACUACUAAUGAAAGACAACUCAGCAUCAGCUCUUAUUUGUGCGAUAAACUAGCGGUAUCAGGCUGAUGAUCUUCUAAUUUUAGGUACUAAUUAAUUUAGUUGCCGUGUGGAGGCUUGUGGGGUGGUUUAUAGGGUGGCACUUUUGGCUUCAACUUAUUGAUCGGUGUCUUGCGCGAGGCCUCAGUUCCCUGUCCUGGGUGACGUUUGUGGGGUGGUUUGUGCUCAAGUGGAGGCGUCUCCCCCUUACCCUUGGGUGGUUUUCCACCGGAAAAUAUUGGUGGCUUGUGCGAGUCCUCAACAUCCUCACCUAGGAGGCGUCUGUGAGGAGGUUUGUGGUCAUGGGGUGGCUCCUUUCCCUCACCCUUAGGCGGUUUGUCACCUGGGAAUGGCUUCUUGGGUUCUUUACCAUUUGGCAAUUCAUGUCCAUGUGGAGGCUUCUCUCCCGUGCCCUUGGGUGGUUUACCACCGGAAAAUCUUGGUGGCUCGCGGGAGUCCUCAACAUCCUCACCUAGGAGGCGUCUGUGGGGAGGUUUGUGGUCAUGGGGUGGCUCCUUUCCCUCACCCUUAGGCGGUUUGUCACCUGGGAAUGGCUUCUUGGGUUCUUUACCAUUUGGCAAUUCAUGUCCUUGUGGAGGCUUCUCUCCCUUACCCUUGGGUGGUUUACCGCCUGUGGUUUUUGGAGGUUUGUGUGUGUCCUCAACAUCCUCACUCAGGAGGUGUCUGUGAGGAGGUUUUUCCCCAUGUACUGGUGGCUCCUUUCCCUUACCUUUCUCACCAGGAUGUGUUGGUGGCUUUUGACCAGGGAAAGGCUUGCCUCCCUUACCCUUGUAAGGCUCAUUAUCAUGGUGUUGAUUAGCUAGAGAAGGAGUGGUGAUCAUAAGAACCACCACUCCAAGGAGAAACACAAGCAAGAAAGCUUUAGACAUCUUAAUUUGGGAUCUUUGGGUUAUGCUGUGGUUCAAAACUGGAUCACUUGGUGCCCUUUUAUAAUGGAUGGAAGGGCUGGAGCUAUGUUGUCAACACAUACACACGCAAUUCUGCAUUUGUCCUCUACUUCUGUACUAGAUUCUUGAUUUCAUAGUGCACUAGAUACACCUCAAAGCAAGUGAUGCUUUUCCAAGGAUAGUAUGCAAAUGCAAAUGGGUCCGAUUUCGGGUCCCAUGUCCGGUUGAAAUGUUUGACAAUUUUACUAGUGCGCCCCAUUCACAUUUACUUUUGGUAGGAAAGUUAACAACCAGCCUAGUUUAGAAAGAGAUUCGGUAACAGGAGGUUGAUCUUCACAUUGAUGCAUCAAGGUCCUUGGCAAGAAUUGAGACAAACAUAGAUUUAAGAUUCAAUGUGCAAUAUUGAGUAAGGGCAUGCCCCAGUCAUCAAUUCUGAUGGAAUCAAUACAAUAUCGAGUUGUGAGACGACUAAAAACGCCACAGUUUUUAGUUAACUAAGUUCAAAAUCAACUAGCUAUGGUUGCUUGAAAAAAGAAGAAAGCGAGAAAGGUAAAAAUAUUCUUCACAUUUUUCAAUUGCAACCAUUAAAAGCUUUUAGACAGGAGUGUGGGCUUUUUCUGGAGAUAUUGUUGACAAAACGGUGUGAACUCUGGAAACUUUGGAAAAGUUACAAACUUUUGUCAUAAAAUAAUAUUAUAGAGAUUUAAGUCAAGUAACUUUAUCAAGUCAUCUAGUACAAAUUAGUUAAUAGUAGUGUCCACUAAGUCUCGGCUCGACGGAAAGAAAGACUACAAGAAAGAGAAAAGAAAAGAACAUAAUCUCGAUUUGGGGUAGUUCUUUUGAGAGCGUUUCCACAAGCUUAAUUUGUCGUUUUGCCAUAUGAUCAGUAUUAUCAUAUAAAAAUUGCAUAUUUCUUUUGGUGCAGAAGUUGGGUACUCGAGAUUCAUGUUUUUACACGUUCCUUUCUACCGACAUGUAUGCCGAUCAUUAGUAUUGGCUCUCCUCUCCCAUAGUAACAAUUGCAUCAAUAUUAAAAAAUAAAUACUAAGAGAAAUUUUUUAAUAUAUAUAUGGAUGGGCAUAGCCCUGUUGGAUGAGAUGACACUAACAGGUAAUUAAAAGUAGAUUACGCACCCACAGGGCCACAACAUGCAGAAAGUAACCUACUAAGCAUAACUUUUCUUUAUAUGAUCAUAUUCAACCGUUCAUAUAACUUUUCCACGACAUACCAUUUUUGGUCAAAAUAUUUAGUAUUUACUCUUUAACCUCACAUUUUUAAUGGCACGAUUCGUUGGAUGCAUGAUUUGAGAAAAAUGGGCAGAAAAAGACAGUUCGAAAUAAAGGAAUUUCGUUAACCAUUGGCUUUGGCUACAAGCCAAGAAAGGUUGCCAACUUUUGUAAUACUAGUAGCACUAGAAAGGCUGCGAGCCAAGCAUGGGAUUGCAUACUGAUUACUGAGACAGAAAUCAAAGAGAAGAUAGCGCAUGCUCUUGUCUUAUUUUGUUAUUUCUACUCUCUCUCUAUAUAACAUAAAUAAAUAGAAGGAAGCCCCAAAGGGGCUUCCAAGUUUAGCCAUGUCGUGGCUCUUUUUGGAUGACAUCUGUUCAGAAUAUAUUUAAUAUUAUUUGAUUUAUUUAUUUUUUUUAAGUUAAUGAAUUCCAUUCAUAGUAAAACAGGGAUAAGUUCCCUGGAUACAAAAACAAAGCACAUGAUUUUAAGAUGCUACGCCUUGAUCGUCAUCUCGUUUCAAAAUUAUCUUGACAACCUGCCCAGGAGAAGCCAUCAAAAAAUAAAUCACAAAAAACAAACAUCCCUAUCAUCAAUUUACAAACAAAUGAAUAUUCAAAACCAGCAUAAAGCCACAAAGUCAUACCAAAAUCCCCCUGCUCAGUAAUUCAUUCCAGAUCAAUAAAAAACAUGUUGCAAUCUAAUCCAAAAUUCUAAACUCCAGAGCACAUGUCUUUACAAGUAACCACAACAUCUCAUUCAAAAGACUCCAUAUCAUCUCCGUAUUAUUUGAUUUGUUGAGGAUGCAUGUAUGGUAUUUUCUUUUUAUGCUCACUAAAACCAACUAAUGUUCUGGCUUUGGUCCAAUUGAGUCUUACUCCAGAAAACAUUAAUAGGCAAAGAAGCAAAGUAAAAACCACUUCAAAAAAAAAAAAAACAGAGUGACAUAGAGUGAAGGAAACUUGCACUUCGAAUGGAAAGUUGGCUAGGUUCUUUAGAAAGAGAGGAAAUUGGCGGUAAAAGGAAGGGAAAGAG